AUUCCAGCUGAUCCUGCUGGCGGAUACUGCUAUUGAAGUUCUACUCAGACAUGCAAGUCUAAUAGGCAUAGCUAAGUGUCUAUGGCAUACGGCUCAGUAACACGUAGAUAAUCUAAGCUUGAGUUGAAUAAAACCCGGGAAACUGGGCAUAAUGUUCUAUGAACAAAAAAUACUGGAAGGUUUUUUUGUUAAAAGACUUACUCUUUUGCGAGUAAGAUCGCUUAAGCAUGAGUCUGCGGUGGAUUAGGCUGUUGGCGGGGUAAAGGCCCACCAAACCUAAGAUCCAUACGGGCCUUGAGAGAGGGAGCCCGGAGAAGGGAACUGAGAAAAGGUCCCUAGCCCUACGGGGUGCAGCAGUCAAGAAAACUUUACAAUGCACGAAAGUGUGAUAGGGGAACUUCAAGUGCAAGCUUUGCUUGCUUUUCUUAAGCCAAAAAAGCUUGAGGAAUAAGUGGGGGGUAAGAUACGUGCCAGCCGCCGCGGUAAUACGUACUCCACUAGUGGUAUCCACUUAUAUUGGGCCUAAAACGUCUGUAGCCGGUCUAAAAAGUUUUUGGUGAAAUCAAUGGUCUUAAGCUAUUGAAAUGCCAAAAAUACUGUUAGACUCGAGACAGGGAGAAGUCAAGGGAAUGGCUGAGGUAGCGGUGAAAUGCAGUGAUCUUAGCUAGACCACCAGUAGCGAAGGCGCUUGACUAGAACUGCUCUGACGGUGAGAGACGAAAGCUGGGGGAGCGACCCGGAUUAGAUACCCGGUUAGUCCCAGCCGUAAACGAUGUGGACUAGGUGUACUAAUAACUACAAGUUAUGGGUGUGCCGAAGCGAAGGCAUUAAGUCCACUGCCUGGGAAGUACAAUCGCAAGGUUGAAACUUAAUGGAAUUGGCGGGGGCGCACUACAAGGGGUGGAGGCUGCGGUUUAAUUGGAUACAACCCCAGACAACUUACCAGGGGCGACAGCAGAAUGAUGAUCAGUCCAAAGGGCUUUUCUGACACGCUGAGUGGUGUUGUAUGGUCAUCGUCAGCUCGUACUAUGAAGCGUCCUGUCAACUCAGGCAACGGGCGAGACCCAUGUUUUUAGUUGCGAUCAUCAGAUUUCUGGUGUGCACUCUAAAAAGACUGCAAAGGCAACUUUGAGGAAGGAAUGGGCAACGGUAGAUCUGUAUGGCCCGAAUCUCCUGGGCAACACGCGGCCUACAUUGAUUAAGACAAUGGGCUCCAACCUCGAAAGAGCAAGGUAAUCUCUUAAACUUAAUCCCAGUUCGGAUUGAGGGCUGCAACUCGCCCUCAUGAAAAUGGAAUCCCCAGUAAUCGCGUGUCAUAAAUUUAGCACAGUUCAACGAUAUGAAUAUAUUUCAUUCGCCGUUAUUUUUUAACAGUGAAU
rnacentral:rRNA from 1 species